AUUGAACGCUGGCGGCAGGCCUAACACAUGCAAGUCGAACGGUAACAGGAAGCAGCUUGCUGCUUUGCUGACGAGUGGCGGACGGGUGAGUAAUGUCUGGGAAACUGCCCGAUGGAGGGGGAUAACUACUGGAAACGGUAGCUAAUACCGCAUAACGUCGCAAGACCAAAGAGGGGGACCUUAGGGCCUCUUGCCAUCGGAUGUGCCCAGAUGGGAUUAGCUAGUAGGUGGGGUAACGGCUCACCUAGGCGACGAUCCCUAGCUGGUCUGAGAGGACGACCAGCCACACUGGAACUGAGACACGGUCCAGACUCCUACGGGAGGCAGCAGUGGGGAAUAUUGCACAAUGGGCGCAAGCCUGAUGCAGCCAUGCCGCGUGUAUGAAGAAGGCCUUCGGGUUGUAAAGUACUUUCAGCGGGGAGGAAGGGAGUAAAGUUAAUACCUUUGCUCAUUGACGUUACCCGCAGAAGAAGCGCCGGCUAACUCCGUG
rnacentral:rRNA from 1 species